CCGGAUUUAUUGGGUUUAAAGGGUGCGUAGGCGGCUUUAUAAGUCAGCGGUGAAAUAUUGCAGCUUAACUGUAACAGUGCCGUUGAUACUGUAGAGCUAGGAUUAGGUUGCUGUGGGCGGAAUGUGUGGUGUAGCGGUGAAAUGCUUAGAGAUCACACAGAAUAUCGAUUGCGAAGGCAGCUCACAAAGCGUAAAUUGACGCUGAGGCACGAAAGUGUGGGGAUCGAACAGGAUUAGAUACCCUGGUAGUCCACACUGUAAACGAUGAUAACUCGCUGUCGGCGAUAUACAGUCGGUGGCCAAGCGAAAGCGAUAAGUUAUCCACCUGGGGAGUACGACCGCAAGGUUGAAACUCAAAGGAAUUGACGGGGGCCCGCACAAGCGGAGGAACAUGUGGUUUAAUUCGAUGAUACGCGAGGAACCUUACCCGGGCUCGAACGGUGCAUGAAUGUCAGAGAGAUUUGACAGUCCUUCGGGACAUGUAUCGAGGUGCUGCAUGGUUGUCGUCAGCUCGUGCCGUGAGGUGUCGGCUUAAGUGCCAUAACGAGCGCAACCCUUGUUGACAGUUACCAUCAGGUAAAGCUGGGGACUCUGUCGAGACUGCCACCGUAAGGUGUGAGGAAGGGGGGGAUGACGUCAAAUCAGCACGGCCCUUAUGUCCGGGGCGACACACGUGUUACAAUGGGAGGUACAGAGGGCAGCUAUCCAGUGAUGGAGUGCAAAUCUCAAAAACCUUUCUCAGUUCGGAUUGGAGUCUGCAACUCGACUCCAUGAAGUUGGAUUCGCUAGUAAUCGCGCAUCAGC
rnacentral:rRNA from 1 species